GACGAACCGUGCGAACGUUGUUCGGAAUCACUGGGCUUAAAGGGCGCGUAGGCGGCUUGCCAAGUCAGGGGUGAAAUCCUGCAGCUUAACUGUAGAAGGGCCUUUGAUACUGGCGAGCUCGAGGGAGGUAGGGGUAUGUGGAACUUCCGGUGGAGCGGUGAAAUGCGUUGAUAUCGGAAGGAACGCCGGUGGCGAAAGCACGCUGCUGGGCAGUCACUGACGCUGAGAGACGAAAGCGAGGGGAGCGAAUGGG
rnacentral:rRNA from 1 species